UACGGAGGGGGCUAGCGUUGUUCGGAAUUACUGGGCGUAAAGCGCGUGUAGGCUGCUUGGAAAGUCGGAUGUGAAAGCCCUGGGCUCAACCUAGGAAGUGCAUUCGAAACUUCUGAGCUGGAGUGCUGGAGAGGAAGGCGGAAUUCUCGGUGUAGAGGUGAAAUUCGUAGAUAUCGAGAGGAACACCGGUGGCGAAGGCGGCCUUCUGGACAGUAACUGACGCUGAGACGCGAAAGCGUGGGGAGCAAACAGG
rnacentral:rRNA from 1 species